rnacentral:rRNA from 1 species
AUAUCAAUAAGCGGAGGAAAAGAAACUAACAAGGAUUCCCCUAGUAACGGCGAGUGAACCGGGAAGAGCUCAAAUUUGAAAUCUGGCGUCCUCAGGGCGUCCGAGUUGUAAUCUAUAGAGGCGUUUUCCGUGCCGGACCGUGUCCAAGUUCCUUGGAACAGGAUAUCAAAGAGGGUGACAAUCCCGUACUUGACACGACGACCGGUGCUCUGUGAUACGUCUUCUACGAGUCGUAGGUU